AGGAGGGUGAUCUCACUGUGACAUCUGCCAUUCCACUGAUUGCCAGGAUUGAUUCAGAAUCUGGCUGGUCAGGCAAGUGCCCCUUUCUUCCUCGCUGCUCUGUGUAUGUCCUUCCUGAAGCUGCAAGACAGGUAGAAGAGAAUGACCUUCCCCCAUAGAGGAGGACCGUUAUUUAGUCAAGGGUACACUAGUAGCUGCAUUACCCUGUUAGGACCUCCAAACAUGCUCUCAAGAUGGGGCAGUUCAGGGAUGCAAAUAGGCUCUUUNGAAAAUAAAAUGAACCCUGCUGCAUCUCAG
rnacentral:snRNA from 1 species